GACGAACGCUGGCGGCGUGCUUAACACAUGCAAGUCGAACGGAAAGGCCCUGCUUUUGUGGGGUGCUCGAGUGGCGAACGGGUGAGUAACACGUGAGUAACCUGCCCUUGACUUUGGGAUAAUUUCAGGAAACUGGGGCUAAUACCGGAUAGGAGCUCCUGCUGCAUGGUGGGGGUUGGAAAGUUUCGGCGGUUGGGGAUGGACUCGCGGCUUAUCAGCUUGUUGGUGGGGUAGUGGCUUACCAAGGCUUUGACGGGUAGCCGGCCUGAGAGGGUGACCGGCCACAUUGGGCCUGAGGUACGGCCCAGACUCCUACGGGAGGCAGCAGUGGGGAAUAUUGCACAAUGGGCGGAAGCCGGAGGAAGCAACGCCGCGUGCGGGAUGACGGCCUUCGGGUUGUAAACCGCUUUCGCCUGUGACGAAGCGUGAGUGACGGUAAUGGGUAAAGAAGCACCGGCUAACUACGUG
rnacentral:rRNA from 1 species